GAUGCCUGUAAUCUCAUCCUGUGUAUCUAACUGCAUCAUAUCCACUAAACUAAUCGGAAUUGGGCCUGGUCAGUACUUGGAUGAGUGACCGCUAGAGAAAUGCAAUUGCAGGAAGUA
ensembl:rRNA 5S_rRNA 5S ribosomal RNA